UACAGAGGGUGCAAGCGUUGUUCGGAAUUACUGGGCGUAAAGCGCGUGUAGGUGGCGAUGUAAGUCGGGUGUGAAAUCCCUCGGCUUAACCGAGGAACUGCCCUCCAAACUGCUUCGCUUGAGACCGGGAGAGGUGAGUGGAAUUCCCAGUGUAGCGGUGAAAUGCGUAGAGAUCGGGAGGAACACCCGUGGCGAAGGCGGCCAUCUGGACCAGUACUGACGCUGAGGCACGAAAGCGUGGGGAGCAAACAGGG
rnacentral:rRNA from 1 species